rnacentral:rRNA from 1 species
GUCCACGCCGUAAACGAUGUCGACUAGCCGUUGGGCCCUUUUAGGGUUUAGUGGCGCAGCUAACGCAUUAAGUCGACCGCCUGGGGAGUACGGCCGCAAGGUUAAACUCAAAUGAAUUGACGGGGCCGCACAAGCGGUGGAGCAUGUGGUUUAAUUCGAUGCAACGCGAAGAACCUUACCUACCCUUGACAUCCAGAGAAUCUGUUAGAGAUAGUAGAGUGCCUUCGGGAGCUCUGAGACAGGUGCUGCAUGGCUGUCGU